GCCUGCUUUAUUUCACAGAGGUUAGAGCAUCGCAUUUGUAAUGCGAUGGUCAUCGGUUCGAUUCCGAUAGCCGGCU